UACGGAGGAUCCGAGCGUUAUCCGGAUUUAUUGGGUUUAAAGGGUGCGUAGGCGGACCCUUAAGUCAGUGGUGAAAGUUUGCAGCUCAACUGUAAAAUUGCCAUUGAAACUGAGGGACUUGAGUGUAAAUGAGGUAGGCGGAAUGUGUUGUGUAGCGGUGAAAUGCUUAGAUAUAACACAGAACACCAAUUGCGAAGGCAGCUUACUAGGAUACAACUGACGCUGAGGCACGAAAGCGUGGGGAUCAAACAGG
rnacentral:rRNA from 1 species